CCGCCCUCUGGAGGAAGCCGCGCAAUCACUCCGGAGGCGGGGGGAGAGAGACAACUGAGAGGAAGGAGGUACCACGGGCGCUCUCUCGCGAGAGGGCCGCAGAGCCGCCUUUGACGGGGGCGUGUACCUGGAGAGCGACGCUCUUGACAAAAAUUCUCAGGGAAAACUCUUCAGCUCUGGAUGUCUCCCUUUUUGUGGAUCAAACACAAAGGGCAUCAUUCUAAAAUAUAUACGGAACCAUAAAAGCCCCAAAUAGCCAAAGCAACCCUGAGCAAAAAGAACAAGGCUGGAAGCAUCACACUACCAGACUUCAAAAUUUACUGCAAAGCUCUAAUACCUAAAACAACAUGGUACUGGCAUAAAAAAAAAAAAAUAGGCACAUAGACCAAUGAAACAGUAUAAAGAAUCCGGAUAUACCAACUCAUCUUUAACAAAGGUGCCAAGAACGUACAAUGAGGAAAGGAUGGUCUUUUCAAUAAAUGGUGUGAGGGAAAGCUAGAUAACUAUAUGCGGAAGAAUGAAACAAGAUUCCUCUCUCUUACUAUACACAAAAAUCAAAUCAAAAUGGAUUAAAGGCUUAAAUCUAAGAUCUGAAACUACAAAACUAGAAGAACACACUGGGGAAGUGCUCCAGGACCUUGGUCUGGGAAAAGAUUUUUUUGUUUAAGACCUCAAAAGCACAGACAACAAAGCAAAAACAGACAAAUGAGAUUACAUUAAGCUAAAAAGUUUCUGCACAGCGAAGGAAACACUUAACAGAGUGGGGGAGACAACCCACAGAAUGAGAGAAAACAUUUUCAAACUAUCCAUCCGACAAGGGAUUAAUGACCAGAAUAAAGAGACUAAACAAUUUAAGCCAAAAACAAAACAAAGAAACACACACACAAAAAAAGUCAAAUAAUCUAAAAAGUGGGCAGGCUGGGUGGGGUGGCUAACACCUAUAAUCCCAGCACUUUGGGAGGCCAAGGCAGGCAGGUCAAGAGAUCGACACCAUCCUGGCCAACAUGGUGAAACCCCAUCUCUACUAAAAAUAAAAAAAAAUUAGCCGGGUGUGGUGGCAUGCGCCUGUAGUCCCAGCUACUUGGGAAGCUGAGGCAGGAGAAUCGCUUGAACCUGGGAGGAAGAGCUUGCAGUGAACCGAGAUUGCACCACUGCACUCCAGCCUGGUGACAGAGUGAGACUCCAUCUUAAAAAAAAAAAAAAAAAAAAGUGGGCAAAAGAUCCAAACAGACAUUUCUCAAAGGAAGACAUAAAAAUGGCCAACAGGUAUAUGAAAAAAUGCUCAACAUUACUAAUCAUUAGAGAAAUGCAAAUUAAAACAACAUGUUAUUUCACCCCAGUUAAAAUGGCUUGUAUUAAAAGAACAGAUAAUAACAGAUGCUAGUGAGGAUGUGGAGAAAAGAGAACCCUUGUACACUGUUGGUAGAAAUGUAAACUAGUACAACCACUAUGAAGAACAGUAUGGAGGUUCUUCAAAAAACUAAAAAUAGAAUUACCAUAUGAUCCAGAAGUUCCACUACUGAAUAUGUAUCCAAAAGAAA